UCUGGCAAUGAUGAAACAUCUUGCCCUCACUGAGAAUGUCCUUUGGGUCAUUCAAUUAUGAGAGUCUUUACAUGUACUCUACUGAGCCAGA